GAGUAAUACGUGAGUAACCUGCCCUUGACUCUGGGAUAAGCCCGGGAAACUGGGUCUAAUACUGGAUGCUACAUGUCACCGCAUGGUGGUGUGUGGAAAGGGUUUACUGGUCUUGGAUGGGCUCACGGCCUAUCAGCUUGUUGGUGAGGUAAUGGCUCACCAAGGCGACGACGGGUAGCCGGCCUGAGAGGGUGACCGGCCACACUGGGACUGAGACACGGCCCAGACUCCUACGGGAGGCAGCAGUGGGGAAUAUUGCACAAUGGGCGAAAGCCUGAUGCAGCGACGCCGCGUGAGGGAUGACGGCCUUCGGGUUGUAAACCUCUUUCAGCAGGGAAGAAGCCACAAGUGACGGUACCUGCAGAAGAAGCGCCGGCUAACUACGUGCCAGCAGCCGCGGUAAUACGUAGGGCGCAAGCGUUGUCCGGAAUUAUUGGGCGUAAAGAGCUCGUAGGCGGUUUGUCGCGUCUGCUGUGAAAGCCCGGGGCUUAACCCCGGGUGUGCAGUGGGUACGGGCAGACUAGAGUGCAGUAGGGGAGACUGGAAUUCCUGGUGUAGCGGUGGAAUGCGCAGAUAUCAGGAGGAACACCGAUGGCGAAGGCAGGUCUCUGGGCUGUUACUGACGCUGAGGAGCGAAAGCAUGGGGAGCGAACAGGAUUAGAUACCCUGGUAGUCCAUGCCGUAAACGUUGGGCACUAGGUGUGGGGGACAUUCCACGUUUUCCGCGCCGUAGCUAACGCAUUAAGUG
rnacentral:rRNA from 1 species